CAAAUGGCUUCCAAUUUCCUUGGAACACCUGUGACCAUGCAUUGCACGGAACCUGGCAGUGAGGCUUACAACAGGACCAUCGCGCCUAUGAAGACCAGUGAUGUAGUUCCUGCAGUCAACAUUUUAUGGUGUAAACUGACAGACGAUGCAAAAGCCAUAAAUCACUUUGCACCUCUUAUUCAUUGCCCUGAAAGUAGGACCAAGUUUAACACAUUUCAGCUAGUAGACAAGAACUCUCCAUUCCACUGUCCUUCUUGCCAAUUUCUAGACAGUAUUGUAGAGGAAGUUGUACAGUGUCAGUACUGUCUGGUAUGGCAUCAUAGGAAGUGUGUGGAAUUUGCUUCGGUUACUACCAGACAGCAAAGACUAUUCGGUUGUGGAUGCGCGACGAAUGUCGACCAACAAUGGAUUGCAGACAUACAGAAUGACAAGGUCUUGAGGAGAAUAUAUACAAUAGCAAUUUGUUAACG